UGGUUACAACGAAUGGCAGUGCCUGUUUUUCCCUUGGGGUACAGUAUGUUUCACUUUCUGCAAUAAUAAAAACUGUUUUAAAAGCCAAGAAAUCCUUUAUU